rnacentral:lncRNA from 1 species
AGCAUUGAGGGAUUGUACUGGAACCUGCCCUUUCUCCUCUUUUUUAGGCAUUUUAGUGAUACAUUUCCUUUGAAGGGGACAAUGUGUCACUGAAUAUCAUCAUGCUGCAUUAAAUAAGGUAUCACUUUGCCUUUGCACGAUGGGAUUCCCAAUUCAGAGGGGGGCUUUGUCACCAUGGCAACCAGAAGAUAACCCAGCAUGAGUCAGCCAGUCCCCCUCCUUCCCACAAAUCCAUUAAAAUAAACUAGGCAUGGAAUUAGGGGCAGCAUUUGAAGUCCACACUGAGGAUUGGAGACUCUGUCAGGAAACAUCUUUGAUCACCUUGACUGGACCCUGCUGUGUAUCAGAUUGGUUUUCUCUGCAUUUUCAACUGGAUGGCAAAAGGGCUCAAAGAAGGAGCAACUUGAGUCGCUUCUGGAGUGAGAGAAUUGGCCGUCUGCAAGGACGUUGCCCGGGGGACGCCCGGAUGUUUUGAUGUUUUUACCUUGUGGGAGGCUUCUCUCAUGUCCCCACAUGGAGCUGGAGCUGAUAGAGGGAGCUCAUCCGCACUCUCCCCGGGUGGGAUUCGAACCUGGCAGCUUUCAGGUCAGCAACCCAACUUUCAAGUCACUUAGUCCACUACGCCAUCUGGGGGCUCCCACUCAGCUUCAUUGAAAGGGUGUUGAGGAGAAAUGAUGCCAAAAAGGGUGGUUUCUAAAGUCUGAUGCCUCAACCCAGGUGUUAUUGAAGGAUCUGAAGACAAAUGAUGCCAGAAAAGGUGAUUUCUUAAGUCUGAUGCCUUAAACCCAGGUAUUAUUGAAGGAUCUGAUGAUGAUCAUGAUGAUGAUGAUAAAACUUUAUUUAUAUCCCACCACCAUCUCCCAUAUGGACUCAGGGCAGCUUACAAAUCGCACACAAUGGUGCCGUAUAACACAUAAAAUCAAUAUAUGAAAUCAAUAACACAUUUACAUAAAAUCAGACAUAUAAAAUUAACAAAAGCAACCUUUAUUAAUAGAGUCAGUAAAAUAUGGCUAUAGCCUUUGAUUAAGAGAUCCAUACAAUCAUUUUAGCAUCCCAGCUGUAUAUUUAUUUAUUCAUUUAUUAAAGUAUUUAUAUUCCGCCCUUCUCACCCCGAAGGGGACUCAGGGCGGAUUACAAUGAACACAUAUAUGGCAAACAUUCAAUGCCAACAGACAAACAACAUAUAUAGACAGACACAGAGGCAUUUAACAUUUUUUUCCAACUUCACGAUUCCGGCCACAGGGGGAGCUGUUGCUUCACUGUCCACUAGUGGCUGUACUUCCUCAUUCCUUUCCUCGUGUUUUGCUGGCAGUUUUAUGAUGUUGUAAAUUAGUUAAAUUAGCCUCCCACAUAAAGUGUACCUAAAUUUUCCUACUUGACAGAUGCAACUGUCUUUCGGGGCUGCAUAGGUCAACAGCAAGCCGGGCUAUUUAAUGGUUGGGGGCUUAACCCGACCU